rnacentral:lncRNA from 1 species
GAGAAAGGAGGUGGUGUGAAGAGGAGAGUCCAACUCAAUUUGGACUCUAGAUUUUCAUUCAAAUUCAAACCCAUUUGAACUCAAAUUUAAACUAACCAAUUUUUAAUUCAAAAAGAAUUAGAUGAGGAUGUGAAAAAGGCUUCUAGGCAUGAGAAAAAUCAUGUAAAAAUAUUUCUCACGUGAAGAAUAAGAGGGCGUAG